rnacentral:rRNA from 1 species
CCGCCCGUCACACCACUGGGAGUCAAUUGCUCCAGAAGUCGAUGUGCCAACCGCAAGGAGGCAGUCGCCCAAGGAGUGAUUGGUAACUGGGGUG